ACGAACGCUUGCGGCGUGCUUCACGCAUGCCAGUCGCACGGAAAGGCCCUGCUUUUGUGGGGUGCUCGAGUGGCGAACGGGUGAGUAACACGUGAGUAACCUGCCCUUGACUUUGGGAUAACUUCAGGAAACUGGGGCUAAUACCGGAUAGGAGCUCCUGCUGCAUGGUGGGGGUUGGAAAGUUUCGGCGGUUGGGGAUGGACUCGCGGCUUAUCAGCUUGUUGGUGGGGUAGUGGCUUACCAAGGCUUUGACGGGUAGCCGGCCUGAGAGGGUGACCGGCCACAUUGGGACUGAGAUACGGCCCAGACUCCUACGGGAGGCAGCAGUGGGGAAUAUUGCACAAUGGGCGGAAGCCUGAUGCAGCAACGCCGCGUGCGGGAUGACGGCCUUCGGGUUGUAAACCGCUUUCGCCUGUGACGAAGCGUGAGUGACGGUAAUGGGUAAAGAAGCACCGGCUAACUACGUG
rnacentral:rRNA from 1 species